AUUGAACGCUGGCGGCAGGCCUAACACAUGCAAGUCGAACGAGUGGCGGACGGGUGAGUAACACGUGGGAACCUACCCAUCAGAGGGGGAUAACACUUGGAAACAGGUGCUAAUACCGCAUAUUGAUGGAUGGACCCGCGGUGCAUUAGCUAGUUGGUGAGGGAACGGCUCACCAAGGCCCCGAUGCAUAGCCGACCGGAGAGGGUGAUCGUCCACACUGGGACUGAGACACGGUCCAGACUCCUACGGGAGGCAGCAGGGGGGAAUAUUGCACAAUGGGCGCAAGCCUGAUGCAGCCAUGCCGCGUGUAUGAAGAAGGCCUUCGGGGUGGAAAGUACUUUCAGCGAGGAGGCGUUACUCGCAGAAGAAGCACCGGCUAACUCCGUGCCAGCAGCCGCGGUAAUUC
rnacentral:rRNA from 1 species